AUACGGGGGGGGCGAGCGUUGUCCGGAAUCAUUGGGCGUAAAGGGUGAGUAGGCGGGAUGGUAAGUCAGAGGUGAAAGUCCAGGGCUCAACUCUGGAUCUGCCUCUGAUACUGCUGUCCUUGAGUGCGGGAGAGGGAAGUGGAAUUCCCGGUGUAGCGGUGAAAUGCGUAGAUAUCGGGAAGGACACCAGUGGCGAAGGCGGCUUCCUGGCCCGCAACUGACGCUGAAUCACGAAAGCGUGGGGAGCAAACAGGAUUAGAAACCCUAGUAGUCC
rnacentral:rRNA from 1 species